ACCUCCUUUCCUUCAUUAUCCGCGCCUAUAUAUACACGUCUCUCUCUCCCUCUCUCUGUAUGUAUACAAUCGCCAUGAAUUGGAUUUGUAUGUCUUCCUCUUCUUCGCUUUCAAUUCUUGAUUUUAUGGAGUUCGGAUGAAUUUUGAUCUUUGGAUCUGCACAACAGCAGAGGAGAGAGAGGAAUUUUGAUCCGUGCUAUCAGAUUAAUCGGAUUCCAGCAAUCGUGUAUUCGUGUUCGAUGGAAUCAAAAGAUCCUCCGGCUUGUUGAUAUGGUUAAGCUUUCUUGAACAAAGAAGUGAUCAACGAGCAGUUUUGAUUGUCGGAGAUGAUAUACAAUCGGUAUACAAUUAUAUAUGUAUGAUUGUAUUAUUAUUAUUGUUAUAGUUGGUUGUGGAAAGGCUAAUGUGUUGUAGAGGGGAAAAAAAGAGAGGCGGAGAGGGAGUGAAUUAUGAGAAGAAUGAGGGAGUAAAUUAUGAGAAGAAUGUCGUGAUGAUUGUGUUGUGUCGUGUCUAGCUAGACGGCCUUUGCCAUAUCGGGUGCGCUUGAAUGGCAGGUCAAACCCUAACCUAAUAAAAGUUCUCUUUUUGUGUUGUUGAGGGGAGAUGGUACGGGGUGGUUUGCCCGGCUCUCCCUUCAUUGGUGUGUGUCUCGUCUCGCCUUUUUUAUUUUCUUGCAUCACGAUCUUACACUUACACAUACCAUAACUUGCACCACGAUCUUACACUUACACCUAUGAUAACUUGCACCUUCACAGUUACAUGCAUUUGAGUCGAUGAUUGAUCUUCGAUGGAUUUAGAACUCUGUAAUAGCUAAAUCUGUUCGAAUCAAAUUCUGACAUGGCGAUAAAACUCGAUUGUGAACACAUUGGCUGGAUCCAUUCAAAUCAAAUCAUGGUUGGUAAAAUUUGGUUGACAACGCAAUGGGAGGAGGACAAAAUCUAUUCAGAUCAGAACAUUGUACCUGUCAUAUUAACAUGAAUGAGAACAUAUUCACCAUGUUCUAGACAGAUUAACAAGAUUGAGCAAAUAUAUUCAUGGAAUACAACCACAUGACUCUUCAGCAAAGGUACCAGCAUCUUUAAUCACCAAACUAUACUCUUAAGUAUAUACUUCUGCUCGAAUAAUUCUUUGUAAUUUUUGUUUUCAACAGCCACUUUAAGCUUAUGGUAGCAUUGUUAUGUAAUCUUAAUUAGCAAAAUAAUUUGUUGCAGUUGUCUUCAUUAAAUUUAUUAUUAAUUAGAAGAGUUUUUCCACCUUGCAUUUAUCGUAGUUCACAAAUAUUAUUGUGUUCCAUUCUAGCUUUCUUUACCGGUGUUGCAUUUAAUUUUGUUAAUAGUAAUUUGAUGAGAAAGUAUAAACUGUAAGGAAGAUGUUGAACUUGUCCUUGCUAAAUUCAUAUUAUGAUGUUAAACUGGUCAUUGGGAGUGGCAAGGCUUAGAUUUGUAGCUGCUGAAGGAUUCUUAACAAAGCGAGCUCUUGGCCAACCUUGCAACGGAAGAAGAUUGAUUUGUAAGCAAGUCAGUCCGUUCUACCUUCAACGUGUUUAAUACAACUGGUGUAUAGGAAACCAGGUGUUAUGAUAGAUUACAUCUGUAGAAUUGUGCAGCAGGUGGCUAUUAAGGACCUGUUAUAUUUUUUAAAAGCGAUGAACAUUUCCCCAUAUAUUUUUAAAGGUGCGUUUGCACUUGGAUAUUUAGCAAAGGUUUUUAGUAAUUGUAUCAUUCCUUCAACUGCUGUGUAUAAGCGAAGGUGUAAUGGCGCCAGUAUUUCAUUGACCCUUUA